UUCUACAGGCUUAACACAUGCAAGUCGAGGGGCAGCAUGGUCUUAGCUUGCUAAGGCCGAUGGCGACCGGCGCACGGGUGAGUAACACGUAUCCAACCUGCCGUCUACUCUUGGACAGCCUUCUGAAAGGAAGAUUAAUACAAGAUGGCAUCAUGAGUCCGCAUGUUCACAUGAUUAAAGGUAUUCCGGUAGACGAUGGGGAUGCGUUCCAUUAGAUAGUAGGCGGGGUAACGGCCCACCUAGUCUUCGAUGGAUAGGGGUUCUGAGAGGAAGGUCCCCCACAUUGGAACUGAGACACGGUCCAAACUCCUACGGGAGGCAGCAGUGAGGAAUAUUGGUCAAUGGGCGAGAGCCUGAACCAGCCAAGUAGCGUGAAGGAUGACUGCCCUAUGGGUUGUAAACUUCUUUUAUAAAGGAAUAAAGUCGGGUAUGCAUACCCGUUUGCAUGUACUUUAUGAAUAAGGAUCGGCUAACUCCGUGCCAGCAGCCGCGGUAAUACGGAGGAUCCGAGCGUUAUCCGGAUUUAUUGGGUUUAAAGGGAGCGUAGAUGGAUGUUUAAGUCAGUUGUGAAAGUUUGCGGCUCAACCGUAAAAUUGCAGUUGAUACUGGAUAUCUUGAGUGCAGUUGAGGCAGGCGGAAUUCGUGGUGUAGCGGUGAAAUGCUUAGAUAUCACGAAGAACUCCGAUUGCGAAGGCAGCCUGCUAAGCUGCAACUGACAUUGAGGCUCGAAAAGUGUGGGUAUCAAACAGGAUUAGAUACCCUGGUAGUCCACACGGUAAACGAUGAAUACUCGCUGUUUGCGAUAUACAGCAAGCGGCCAAGCGAAAGCGUUAAGUAUUCCACCUGGGGAGUACGCCGGCAACGGUGAAACUCAAAGGAAUUGACGGGGGCCCGCACAAGCGGAGGAACAUGUGGUUUAAUUCGAUGAUACGCGAGGAACCUUACCCGGGCUUAAAUUGCAGAUGAAUUACGGUGAAAGCCGUAAGCCGCAAGGCAUCUGUGAAGGUGCUGCAUGGUUGUCGUCAGCUCGUGCCGUGAGGUGUCGGCUUAAGUGCCAUAACGAGCGCAACCCUUGUUGUCAGUUACUAACAGGUUCCGCUGAGGACUCUGACAAGACUGCCAUCGUAAGAUGUGAGGAAGGUGGGGAUGACGUCAAAUCAGCACGGCCCUUACGUCCGGGGCUACACACGUGUUACAAUGGGGGGUACAGAGGGCCGCUACCACGCGAGUGGAUGCCAAUCCCCAAAACCUCUCUCAGUUCGGACUGGAGUCUGCAACCCGACUCCACGAAGCUGGAUUCGCUAGUAAUCGCGCAUCAGCCACGGCGCGGUGAAUACGUUCCCGGGCCUUGUACACACCGCCCGUCAAGCCAUGGGAGCCGGGGGUACCUGAAGUGCGUAACCGCGAGGAGCGCCCUAGGGUAAAACUGGUGACUGGGGCU
rnacentral:rRNA from 1 species